AGAGUUUGAUCCAUGGCUCAGGAUGAACGCUAGCGGCAGGCCUAAUACAUGCAAGUCGAACGGUCAGUAGCAAUACUGAUAGUGGCGCACGGGUGCGUAACGCGUAACCAACCUACCUGCAUCUGGGGGAUAGCCCGCCGAAAGGCGGAUUAAUACCGCAUAUACCAGCAGCCUGGCAUCAGGCAAUUGGGAAAGAUUUAUUGGAUGCAGAUGGGGUUGCGUAGCAUUAGCUAGAUGGCGGGGUAACGGCCCACCAUGGCGACGAUGCUUAGGGGACCUGAGAGGGUGAUCCCCCACACUGGCACUGAGAUACGGGCCAGACUCCUACGGGAGGCAGCAGUAGGGAAUAUUGGGCAAUGGGCGAGAGCCUGACCCAGCCAUGCCGCGUGCCGGAUGAAGGCCUUCUGGGUUGUAAACGGCUUUUCUCAGGGAAGAAAAAGAGGAUGCGUCCUACACCUGACGGUACCUGAGGAAUAGCAUCGGC
rnacentral:rRNA from 1 species